rnacentral:lncRNA from 1 species
UCUGCAUUGAGACUAAUAAGUAACUUCCUUCUUGUACCUCUGAUUAUUAUUACAGGGACCUGUAAACAAUUAUCUAUUUACCUUCUCUCUGUAUCAAGGAAAGAUAAAGACUGAAAAAUGAUUGGCAGAAUCAUGUGACUGGAAUCUUAUGAGCCUGGGAGUGUUGGAAUCUUUGGAAUUCGGUUGAGAGAAACUGUUUCUCUGGAUCUGAAGAGGAAAGGAGAGAGAAGUGUGGCCAAAUCUGUCAGAAUAUGAAUUCCCAAGUCACUAGCCUUUGAAGAUCCUUUGGCUGUGGUUUUGUGGAAAAGGACUGCAUCAAGGUAAAAUAAAGACUGCAAAAUGAUUGGCAGGAGCAUGUGACUGGAAUCUUAUGAGCCUGGGAGUGUUGGAAUGUUUAGGAUUCAGUUGAGAGAAACUGUAUCUCUGGAUCUGAAGAGGAAAGGAGAAAGAAGUGUGGCCAAAUCUGUCAGAAGAUCAAUUCCCAAGACACUAGCCUAUGAAGAUCCUUUGGCUGUGAUAUCAUGAUUGCAACUCCUGCCUUCUUUCUAUCAGUUGAGGCUCAGAAGGUCUUACUCCUUCCUUUAAUUCUGACCUUGUGAGUAUCUACCCGCCUCAUGUGUGUU